rnacentral:lncRNA from 1 species
AAAGAGUUUAAAACUAUUGAGAAGUUUAGGCAAGCUGUAAGGAGUCAUGGUGUAGCUACUAGAUGCAAUUUUAAAUUUCAUCCUAACGACAAGUUUAGAGCCCAAGCCAUCUGCAAAUUAGGUUGUACAUGGAGGAUUUGGGCUUCAUGGAAUAAGAAGAAAGGAUGCGUGCAAAUAAAAUCUAAAAACUCUGAGCAUACAUGCGUUAGGGACAAAACAAAUAGACAUUGCAC